rnacentral:tRNA from 1 species
AAAGAUUUAGUUUAAAAUCAUCAUAACAUAAAUUUGUCAAAUUUAAAAUAUUAAUAAUAUUAAUAAUCUUUU